rnacentral:tRNA from 1 species
AGAGCAACUGCCUUCUAAGCAGUAGGUUUCAGGUUCGAGUCCUGACAGGAUCA